UAAUUCUUUCUAGGCAAAUCGUCCACAUAAACAACGUGGCUAAUGCGACUGGUAAAAAGUUGCAAGUCAGAAUCGUAUAACACACUCUCACGAUGCUAAUGCCAUGAUAAAUGUCCAGAGAAUCAGUUGCGCGAGAAUCGCGUUGUGGUGACAUUCUUGUCAGAAGUUGAUUGGCAAAAGUUAUAGUAUAUGUAAGAGUCCGGCGAAAAGGUUUCCUUCGUCAAGCCCAGACUACGCUGUAGUGUAGUGCACACGAAACACUGGUCCAGCAUCGAGAAGUGGUUUCCGUGAAACUUUGAAAAUACCGCGCUUACGGAAACGAGGAAGAAGAGAAACGGAAUCCCGUUUCCUAGUUCGCAGCUUCCCACUCGAUCUUCGUCGAACCUGAUCUUCGUGCAUCCGUAGCCGAAGGUGAACCAGUUAGGAGCAAUCGUGACUCUGGUACGUCCACGAUUCACGCUGAGAAAGGGACCUAAUCGAAGCAACCGGUUUAUAAGAGCGUCGACGGGCGAAUGGUUCAUUCAGUUCAGCCAACGCGAUCAAAGUCAAACGAGUUCCCCGCCGUCUAUCUGGCAUACCUCAUCUAACACGCGAAACGUGCUCCACGUUUUGCUGGAUUUUACGUGGUGGAAGUCAACUCCAGUGCGCGUUCUGCAAACAGUGAUAGUUUCGAAUCGAGAUAUCAUUCACACGGUGGAAUGUUGCUUUCUUGAAGUGAAUCACAAGGUAGCCUAAUAGGUACCCUAAGAAAUUCGUUCAUUUCAAAUCGGAGGAUUUCUCUUGCCUGAAGAAAAAUAGCAAAAGGAGGGGGAGAUUCGAAUACGGGAACAAGUGGAUUCUACAAAAUUAUACUCGAUUGGUGCGGAUAUGUCGGUAUUAAAAUGAAUCACAAGACAACUUAAAGCUACUCCACGAGAUUCGUUCAUUAAAAAUAGGAAGAUCAUACUUCUUCGAAUAAAAGAA